AUUUUAACAAAAUGACCUCUUAAAUCAAACAUAAUUAUCUUAUUACAAACUAUUUUAAUUACUUUAAUAAAUAACUUAAUUAAUAAAACAUAAAUAACAUUAAUGAAACAUCAUGAAAUACAUUUAUAAUUUAUAUUCUUUAUUGUAAGGGGAUUAAUAAUUAAAUUAUAUUUUUAUAUAUUUCAAGAAUUGCAUUUAAUGAAUUAAAAAAUGUAUGAAAUAUUAUUAUUAAAAUGAAAUUAAUUUAUACUAUUAUUCAUUAUUAGUAAGAAAAAUAGAAAAAAUAAUUAAACAGCAUUGUAAAACCAAUAGCUCCCUUGCUCUGCUCAGAACCUAAAAUAUGUACUAACUCAUCAAAAUCUUCUGAUUCAUUAUCAUAUGAAAAUAAACAUAGAAAUGUUUGAAAAGUUAUUGUUAAUUAACUUAACCUAAUGAACCCAAAUUCACAUUAAAUAUUUUAAUUUUGGAAAUAACUUAAUUAAAUUUAUUUUAUUUUAUUUUUAUUUUUAUUUUUAUUUGAUUAUUUAAUUAUCUGUAUCGUCUGUCUCUCUUUGUGGCAAAGGAACAUCUGAUUCUGAAGUAUCAACAUUGAUAACAUCAGCAAAUGGUAUAGUAUAGAUGGUACACUAGAAUGGUAUAGAUAAUAUUAUCUCCGGGGAUAUUCAAAGGGGUAUAUAUACGUUGGAUAAUCUGUAUUUUUUUCUUCUUUUUGGAUUGCUGCUUUCACCUGAUAGAACCUGUUUCAUUUUAAACUACAUACAAAGAAGUAAAUUAAUUAUGAAUUAUGAUAUUAUAAUAAUUAAUUAUGUAAUACAUAUUUUGUUUUCAUUCAUUCAUAUUAUACCUGACAUAAAAAUUUUCCUCAAUAUCUAUAAUAUUAAUCAAUGUUUGAACUACAAUUCGAACUUGAUAUUUUUGCAAAUUGAGCGCAUGAUAUUGGUUAUAGCCUUAAUACAAAUAAAUGUCAUAUUAUGACUUUUUCUAGACAGCGAUCUCCUAUUCACUACAAAUAUUAUUUUGAUGGUACCACUCUUGACCAUGUUUUUCUCCAUAAAUAUCUUGCUAUAAAUAAUAACCUAUCUUUAAACUUUAAAUAAAUGUAACCGUAGGUAAAGCAUUAAAAGUCUUGUAAUUUAUUAAUCACAACACCACUCAUUUUUCUUCUGCUCGUUGCCUUUUCGAACAUUGUAUUUCGCGUUAGUACGUUCUAUAUUAUAAUACCGAGUGGUAAUAAUGCAUCCUUACUUGUCUAGAGAUAAAUUAAGACUCGAGUGUGUCCAAAAUAGGUUUUUUUCCUACGCAGUCCAUAUUCUUAAAAUAGUCCACUUAUCACAUGACUACUCUUUAAUUCGUAGUUUAUUGGAAAUUCUAAUACUUCAUCUCGCCGAACAGACAUUGACUUACAAUUUAUUUCUUCACUCUUAAGAGGCACCACAGAUGCUCCUAAUCUCCUAUCAAACGUAAGUAUUCGUAUUCCUUUCUUCUUUUCCAGACAUCACUCCCUCUUCCUAGUACCAGCCCAUAGUACAUCGUACGGUAAUAACCACCCUUUACAUAGAAUGCUUCGUAAUUUAAAUAGCCUUAAUUUUGAUUUCAACCAUAAAUAACUAAAUGUACGAUUAGUUGUAAUGUUUUUAUAUUUAAUUUAAUUUUUAUUUAUUAAAUUUUUUUAUUUUGUAAAAUGGUAAUCAUUAUCUAAUUUGUAUUUCGAUGUCUCUGUAUUAUUUUCAUUGUUACUAUAUAUUAUUAGUAUUAUGUUAAUAAAUUACUGUUAUUUGUAAACCAAACCAAUCAUAAAAUUGCCGACUGGCGUUUAUAAAUAAAUAAAUAAUUACCUCUUGUAAUGACCGUUCCUUUUUUAAUAAUGCUAUAAAUUUCCAUAUGGAAACAUGAUAAGCUCAAAGUGCAUCGUUGAAUGUAUGGUGCCAACCCUCAUUUACAUUAUUUAUUCGUGGUCGAUUUUCGAGAGACGAAUUACGAUUGAAAAAAAACAGCCUUUGACACGUCAACUGUUGGAAAUUCAUCUUUAAUGCGAUAUACCAAGGAUAGGCAACUGGACGCCCGUGGGCCGUAUCCGGCCCAUUCAUCAAUUUUUAGUGGGC